rnacentral:lncRNA from 1 species
GACCCUUGAGAAAUUAGCAAUUUAAGGUGGGGACAGACACAUAGAUGGCUAAUUGUAAUUCAGUAUGGUGAGUACUCUUAACAGAGAAUUGUUUUUUAAAAUCCUACUGGCUCAAAAAUCAGAAAAAUAUCAUUUCUGCCCAAAGAGAUGUCAGGGAAGAAUAUGGAGAGGAGGAAGACCUGGAAGGCUGAGUUAGGAAGGAAAGAAUUAUAACUAGAUUUGAAUGUGGUCAAAAAUAGGACGUUUAUUUCCAGGCCCCUUAUGUGAGGUGUGGUUUGAGCAGGAGCUUGAGAUUCCAGUGGCAGGGUCCCCUCAGGCUAUUGGGAACAUUUAUUUUUCCUUGAAACAUGAAGCCUCCUAGGAGGCCUGCGUGUGCUGUUUGGUGGAUACGUGACCAUGGAGCUUGGGAGGCCGCAGGUUUUUCUGCACCCAGCCUCACUGAGCUGUUUUCUCUGUCUGUUUCCCCAGCUCGGAGUCCAGUGUUUUCCCACUUAUCAUCUUCUCUCCAGGGGCUCUGGACCAUCCGGGCAUACAAAGCAGAAGAGAGGUGUCAGGAACUGUUUGAUGCACACCAGGAUUUACAUUCAGAGGCUUGGUUCUUGUUUUUGACAACGUCCCGCUGGUUUGCCGUCCGUCUGGAUGCCAUCUGUGCCAUGUUUGUCAUCAUCGUUGCCUUUGGGUCCCUGAUUCUGGCAAA